rnacentral:miRNA from 1 species
UGACAAGCAUGGUUCUCUCUCU